ACACUGCUGAGGAGUCCCAUAAUAGGACGAAACGGCCGUCCAGUGU
rfam:Schistosoma curassoni strain Dakar, Senegal genome assembly, scaffold: SCTD_scaffold0013395